rnacentral:rRNA from 1 species
ACGGAAGGCAGCAGUGGGGAAUAUUGGGCAAUGGGCGCAAGCCUGACCCAGCGACGCCGCGUGAGGGAAGAAGGUCUUCGGAUUGUAAACCUCUUUCAGCAGGGAAGACAGAAGACGGUACCUGCAGAAGAAGUCACGGCUAACUACGUGCCAGCAGCCGCGGUAAUACGUAGGUGGCGAGCGUUAUCCGGAAUUACUGGGUGUAAAGGGUGUGUAGGCGGAGAGGCAAGUCAGGCGUGAAAUGCGUGGGCUCAACCCACGAAUUGCGCUUGAAACUGUUUCCCUUGAGAGUGGGAGAGGUUAACGGAAUUCCUGGUGUAGUAGUGAAAUGCGUAGAUAUCAGGAGGAACACCGGUGGCGAAGGCGGUUAACUGGACCACAACUGACGCUGAGACACGAAAGCGUGGGGAGCAAACAGGAUUAGAUACCCUGGUA